ACGGGUGCGUAACGCGUAUACAAUCUGCCUUUUAUCCGGGGGAUAGCCCGAAGAAAUUUGGAUUAAUACCCUAUGGUAUAAGAGCACGGCAUCGUGCACUUAUUAAAGCUACGGCGGUAAAAGAUGAGUAUGCGUUCUAUUAGCUAGUUGGAGAGGUAACGGCUCCCCAAGGCGACGAUAGAUAGGGGUUCUGAGAGGGAUGUCCCCCACACUGGUACUGAGAUACGGACCAGACUCCUACGGGAGGCAGCAGUGAGGAAUAUUGGACAAUGGUCGGAAGACUGAUCCAGCCAUGCCGCGUGCAGGAUGACGGCCUUAUGGGUUGUAAACUGCUUUUGUAAGGGAAGAAUAAGGAGUACGUGUACUUUGAUGACGGUACCUUACGAAUAAGCAUCGGCUAACUCCGUGCCAGCAGCCGCGGUAAUACGGAGGAUGCGAGCGUUAUCCGGAAUCAUUGGGUUUAAAGGGUCCGUAGGCGGGCGAAUAAGUCAGGGGUGAAAUCGUUCAGCUCAACUGAGCAACUGCCUUUGAAACUGUUAGUCUUGAAUAGUUGUGAAGUAGUUGGAAUGUGUAGUGUAGCGGUGAAAUGCUUAGAGAUUACACAGAACACCGAUAGCGAAGGCAUAUUACUAACAAUUGAUUGACGCUGAUGGACGAAAGCGUGGGGAGCGAACAGGAUUAGAUACCCUGGUAGUCCACGCUGUAAAC
rnacentral:rRNA from 1 species